rnacentral:rRNA from 1 species
AACGAACGCUGGCGGCAUGCCUAACACAUGCAAGUCGAACGAGACCUUCGGGUCCCGUUGCCCACGGGUUCGUAACCCGUGGGAACCUUCCCUUAGGUUCGGAAUAACUCCCCGAAAGGGGUGCUAAUACCGGAUAAUGUCUUCGGACCAAAGAUUUAUCGCCCUUGGAUGGGCCCGCGUUGGAUUAGCUAGUUGUUAGGGUAAAAGCCUAUCAAGGCGACGAUCCAUAGCUGGUGUGAGAGGCUGAUCAGCCACACUGGGACUGAGACACGGCCCAGACUCCUACGGGAGGGAGGAGUGGGGAAUAUUGGAAAAUGGGAGAAAGCCUGAUCCAGCAAUGCCGCGUGAGUGAUGAAGGCCUUAGGGUUGUAAAGCUCUUUUACCCGGGAUGAUAAUGACAGUACCGGGAGAAUAAGCUCCGGCUAACUCCGUG